rnacentral:RNase_P_RNA from 1 species
GGUGAGAUGGUCGCUCCGCAGACGGGCGCAAGCCUGAGUCUACGGAGAGGAAAGUCCGGGCUCCGAAGGGCAAGGACAGUGGCUAAGCGCCACCGUUCCGCCGUUGGCCGGGGCUGCCGGUCUACGGCGGAACAGGGAAAGUGCCACAGAAAAGAUACCGCCUGUGUGCGGGGGUCAGGUCUCAAUAUUGAACAUAAGCAGGUUUUCUCCGGGGAGUCUAAAAGUUAUGUUGAAUGUUGAGACCUGACCCCUCAGACUGGUAAGGGUGAAAAGGCGGGGUAAGAGCCCACCGCUGCAGGGGUGACCUUGCAGGCAUGGUAAACCCUGUCCGGAGCAAGGCCAUGUAGGUUCCGCCUUGAGGGUGGCCCGCCCGAUUGAGCGGAACGGGUAGGCUGCAUGAGUCCGGGAGCAAUCCCUGACCUCAGAUGAAUGACCAUUACAUACAGAACCCGGCUUAUUGCCUGCCCU